rnacentral:rRNA from 1 species
AGUGAACGCUGGCGGUAGGCCUAACACAUGCCAGUCGAACGGCAGCACAGUAAGAGCUUGCUCUUACGGGUGGCGAGUGGCGGACGGGUGAGGAAUACAUCGGAAUCUACUUUUUCGUGGGGGAUAACGUAGGGAAACUUACGCUAAUACCGCAUACGACCUACGGGUGAAAGCAGGGGAUCUUCGGACCUUGCGCGAUUGAAUGAGCCGAUGUCGGAUUAGCUAGUUGGCGGGGUAAAGGCCCACCAAGGCGACGAUCCGUAGCUGGACUGAGAGGAUGAUCAGCCACACUGGAAAUGAGACACGGUCCAGAAUCCUACGGGAGGCAGCAGUGGGGAAUAUUGGACAAUGGGCGGAAGCCUGAUCCAGCCAUACCGCGUGGGUGAAGAAGGCCUUCGGGUUGUAAAGCCCUUUUGUUGGGAAAGAAAAGCAGCAGGUUAAUACCCCGCUGUUCUGACGGUACCCAAAGAAUAAGCACCGGCUAACUUCGUG